rnacentral:rRNA from 1 species
CGGAGGGUGCAAGCGUUAUCCGGAAUCAUUGGGUUUAAAGGGUCCGCAGGCGGAUUUAUAAGUCAGUGGUGAAAGCCUGAUGCUUAACAUCAGAACUGCCAUUGAUACUGUAAGUCUUGAAUUCGAUCGAAGUGGGCGGAAUAUGACAUGUAGCGGUGAAAUGCUUAGAUAUGUCAUAGAACACCGAUAGCGAAGGCAGCUCACUAGGUCUGGAUUGACACUCAGGGACGAAAGCGUGGGGAGCAAACAGGAUUAGAUACCCUGGUAGUCCACGCCGUAAACUAUCAAUACUCGUUUUCGGGGACUUCGGUCUUCGGAGACUAAGCGAAAGUGAUAAGUAUUGCACCUGGGGAGUACGAUCGCAAGGUUG